GACGAACGCUGGCGGCGUGCCUAAUACAUGCAAGUAGAACGCUGAAGGAGGAGCUUGCUUCUCUGGAUGAGUUGCGAACGGGUGAGUAACGCGUAGGUAACCUGCCUGGUAGCGGGGGAUAACUAUUGGAAACGAUAGCUAAUACCGCAUAACAGUAGAUAUCGCAUGAUAUCUACUUGAAAGGUGCAAUUGCAUCACUACCAGAUGGCCCUGCGUUGUAUUAGCUAGUUGGUGAGGUAACGGCUCACCAAGGCGACGAUACAUAGCCGACCUGAGAGGGUGAGCGGCCACACUGGGACUGAGACACGGCCCAGACUCCUACGGGAGGCAGCAGGAGGGAAUCUUCGGCAAUGGACGGAAGGCUGACCGAGCAACGCCGCGGGAGUGAAGAAGGUUGUCGGAUCGUAAAGCUCGGUUGUAAGAGAAGAACGAGGGUGAGAGUGGAAAGUUCACACUGUGACGGUAGCGUAACAGAAAGGGACGGCUAACUACGUG
rnacentral:rRNA from 1 species